UGUAUCUGACUGAGAGUAGAUUUGGC
rnacentral:piRNA from 1 species